AUUGAACGCUGGCGGCAUGCCUAACACAUGCAAGUCGAACGGAAACGAUGGGAGCUUGCUCCCAGGCGUCGAGUGGCGGACGGGUGAGUAAUACAUAGGAAUCUGCCCAGUAGUGGGGGACAACCUGGGGAAACCCAGGCUAAUACCGCAUACGCCCUACGGGGGAAAGGCUUCGGCCGCUAUUGGAUGAGCUUAUGUCUGAUUAGCUUGUUGGUGGGGUAACGGCCCACCAAGGCGACGAUCAGUAGCUGGUCUGAGAGGACGAUCAGCCACACUGGGACUGAGACACGGCCCAGACUCCUACGGGAGGCAGCAGUGGGGAAUAUUGGACAAUGGGCGAAAGCCUGAUCCAGCAAUGCCGCGUGUGUGAAGAAGGCCUGCGGGUUGUAAAGCACUUUCAGUGGGGAGGAUAAUGACGUUACCCACAGAAGAAGCACCGGCUAACUCUGUGCCAGCAGCCGCGGUAAUACAGAGGGUGCGAGCGUUAAUCGGAAUUACUGGGCGUAAAGCGCGCGUAGGCGGCUUGGUCAGUCGGAUGUGAAAGCCCCGGGCUUAACCUGGGAAUUGCAUUCGAUACUGCCAGGCUAGAAUGUAGUAGAGGGAAGUGGAAUUCCGGGUGUAGCGGUGAAAUGCGUAGAGAUCCGGAGGAACAUCAGUGGCGAAGGCGACUUCCUGGACUAACAUUGACGCUGAGGUGCGAAGGCGUGGGGAGCAAACAGGAUUAGAUACCCUGGUAGUCCACGCCGUAAACGAUGUCAACUAGAUGUUGGGGGGUUUAACCCCUUAGUAUCGCAGCUAACGCAUUAAGUUGACCGCCUGGGGAGUACGGCCGCAAGGUUAAAACUCAAAGGAAUUGACGGGGGCCC
rnacentral:rRNA from 1 species